rnacentral:lncRNA from 1 species
AUGCUCGCGCAGCAGGAGGCCAAGGCGCUUCGUCGACCCGAGGUUGGCGUCGAGCACAUCGUGAUGGGCCUCGUCGCCGAGGAGGCCAAGAAGGGCGGCUGGCUCGGCACCGGCGUCACCAUCGACUCGGCGCGCGAGAAGGCUAAGGAGAUCGUCUCGUUCGACAAGGACCGCGCCGCGAGGCGCACGUCCACUUCCGAGGUUCCCUUCAGCCGCGGCGCCAAGCGAGUCUUCGAGGCGGCUCUGAACAACUCGACCAACAUGGGCAUGAACUACAUAGCCCCCGAGCACAUCGCGCUCGCCGUCGCCGAGCUCGACGACGAGUCCCUGGUGAAGUACUUCGAGAUGCUCUCCACCAGCCGCACCUUCGUCAAGAACGAGGCUGAGCGCAGGUUAAAGACGGAGAAGGAGAAGGAGUCGGGGCCGGCGGCGCGACCCAACACUUCCCUCGCGCCGCGUCAGCGCCAGCAGCAGGCUUCGCAGAAGG